GAACGGACAAUAUGGGCAGUAAGAAUAACAGCCUAACAGCCCUCUAGGCUCUUCUAAACGUUUUGACCAGCCAAGGAGGGCUAUGAUUGUCCUAUCGUCAGGAGUCACUGCCAAACUUUCUGUGAAACUGAUGGCUCUCCUCGGAGGACACUCUUGAUUCUCAGCCAGCUUGGACAGUGGUGACUGUCACCCUCUGUAGGUCUGGAUUGGAUCCAUCUUUCCUGAGGCUGAAGCAACUUCCAGCCCACCCCUCUAGAUGAAGAAGAACCGAAGAAGCAGAACCCUCCUGUCAGCACUAACCCUCACUCCUGAGUCUCAUUGAGUCUAACUUUUCAAUCACCUCACGCUCUGCAGUCCUGAAGCAAGGCAAGGGAACAGUUUCUCACAAAAGCGGCUGAAGCCCUUGGGAUUGACCGAGCUCUGACAAUAUGGAGACCUCAACGGGACUACAACGCAGAGGGAGGAGACACCAUAUUGGUCAGCGGCUUCAAAACCGACAAUCUUGAAGCUAGACGGGAAAGGACCUUACAAGAGUCUCUGGACUCCUACUGAUGUUAAAAUUGCUGGUAUUCCCGCCUGGGUACAUCACAUAUAUCUCAAGAAGGCACCCGAGGAACCCAUGGAAGAGCCCAAUCUAGAGGUGGGAAUUGACUGAAAGAAACCAUUAAAAAUUAAACACCCUAAGCUUUGACUGUCUAA